CCUACGGGUGGCAGCAGUGAGGAAUAUUGGUCAAUGGCCGGAAGGCUGAACCAGCCAAGCCGCGUGAAGGACGAAGGUGCCAAGCAUUGUAAACUUCUUUUGUCAAGGGACAAAAUCCGGCUCGUGAGCUUGACCGAGGGUACUUGAUGAAUAAGCACCGGCUAACUCCGUGCCAGCAGCCGCGGUAAUACGGAGGGUGCGAGCGUUAUCCGGAUUUAUUGGGUUUAAAGGGUGCGUAGGCGGACUGUUAAGUCAGCGGUAAAAGCCCGGGCCUCAACCCCGGCGAGCCGUUGAAACUGGCUGGCUUGAGAGGGCGAGAGGUAGGCGGAAUGCGCAGUGUAGCGGUGAAAUGCUUAGAUAUUGCGAAGAACUCCGAUUGCGAAGGCAGCAUACCGGAGGGGAACUGACGCUGAGGCACGAAAGCGUGGGUAUCGAACAGGAUUAGAUACCCCGGUAGUC
rnacentral:rRNA from 1 species